ensembl:lncRNA
CUUUUUUUUUUUUUUUUUUUUUUUUUUUGGUGCCUGUAGCAUGCAGAAGUUGCUGGGCCCAGGAUCAAAUGCAAGCCACAGCAGUGAUCCAAAUCAUAGCAAUGACAAUGCUGGAUCCUUAACCACGAAGCCACCAGGGAACUCCAAGCAAGUGACUUUAAAACAAAUUUUUAAUUGAACCAAAGAAGAUUCUUCAAAAACCAAUGGAAAAAAAUAAAAGUCAUUUUUAAAAAAGAUGCUUUAAGUUCUAGAGCACUUUCUAAAAUUUGAAAGUUUCACAUACAUAAUAUCAUAUAAUCCCAUAACUCUUUUUUUUUUUUUCCCCUAGCCUUAUCUUUCCCCUCCCUGCUUCCUCUCCCCACUGGUAACUGCCGCUAGUUUGUCCCCUGUAUCUGCGAGUCUACCAAGCAAGUAACUAUUUUUUAUGGCCACGUCUGUGGCAUAUGGAAGUUCCCGGGUGGGGGAUUGACCCUGCACCUCCUCAGCGACCUGAGCUGCCACAGUCUGAUUCUUAACCCAUUGCGCCACAGCGGAACUCCGUGCGACUUUAGACUCUUCCAAGGAAACCAUUAGAUUCCUCAGCAGGGNNNNNNNNNNNNNNNNNNNNNNNNNNNNNNNCUCAUUACAGCUCCUCACGAAUAAGAAAAAUUAGAUGAGCUGCUACAGGCGAAUGGCCACACAGUGCCGGGCAUUUGGCACCACAAGGUUGGAGUCAUGAGUUGGCAUGAGCAUGGGAGCAUCCCUUCCUAAAGGGCAUUCCACGUCUUCUCCAGGCAUUUGGACUUGAGGGGAAAAAGCUACAAAAGGUUGUUAAUGGGAGAGCAAAGCGCCACCUCCACCCCCGUCCCCACCCCUGCCUGGACCGCAAGCUCACUGGGGUCGGGAAAGGGUCACCCCAGCCCUCAGCAAAGGGCCGGCAUACAGUCGGCGCUCAACACAUGUCCCAAAGAGGGAAAAGCCAGGCUCAAGGGUGGAGCCCAGGAAACACCCACACUUGGACGGCAGGCAGGGAAGGAGAAGCAGCAGAGGGAAGUGAGAGCGAGACAGGCGAGAAAGGGGAACCAGGCGAGCUCGGCAGCGCAGAAGCAGAGGGAAGGGAAAAGCAUCUUUUCAGGACGUCGCUGCUGAAGCCUGGAGGGAGGGAAAGUGGACGAGAGACAAGAGACGGCCACCCGACCUGGGCACGGGAUGCACGCUCCACGGGUGGGGCAACGCCAGGAUGUAAUGAGGCGAAGAAAGGACGAGAAACAGGAUGUGGAUAUAAGAGCUAUGCGAGCCUCAAGCAACGCUUUCAAAACGUUUGCAUUAACUCUAAAGAUUUCCAAGGAGCAAAAAUUCAACUCCAAAGGGAUGGGACACUUUCUCGGGACGAGAGACGCCCUAGUUACCUGGAACAUGGACAUGAGCGAGCUUCCCCAGCUGAGAUGUGACUGCAAACUCCAAAGCAAACACAAUUACCACCCCAGGGAGCUGUCACAAAGUUCACGCAUCUUGUGGCACAAAGAAGCCAAACGAUGCAGCUCAGGACCCCUCCCAGCAACAGAUGUGUGGGCCACAAAGGCAGCGGGAGACUGGAGUUUGCAGAAAACUGGGAAGAGGGUCCCUCAAUAGUCCUUCAGGGGCUGCUAAGAAUCAUCACCCGACACUGUUUCUGAAGCAACAGAAACAAUGCUUCUUUUUCUUUUUUCUUCUAUUUUAGGGAGGCACCCAGGCAUAUGGAGGUUCCCAGGCUAGGAGUCAAACUGGAGCUGGAGCUGCCAGCCUACGCCACAGCCACAGCAAUGCCAGAUCCGAGCCUCGUCUGCGACCUACACCACAGCUCACAGCAACGCUGAGUCCUUCACCCCCUGAGCAAGGCCAGGGAUCAAAGCCACAUCCUCAUGGAUCCUAGUCAGGUUCCUUAACCUGGAGCCACAAGGGAGCUCCAGAAACAAUGUUUCAAUCAAUGUUUGUUGAGUGCAUGACUGACAGAUCACUUAAGCUUUAUAAUGUCCGAAGCCCUGUCACAGUUUACAGCUUCCUUUUGACCUCAUGUUCCCUUGGACUCACUAGACGACUUCUCUCCUUCCUUUCUCACUCAAGUUUCCGAAUUUUUUUUUUUUUUUUUUUUUUUUGGACCACGCCUGAGGCAUGCGGAAGUUCCUGUGCCAGGGAUCAAACCUGUGCCAUAGCAGUGACAACACAACAUGCUUACCCCACUAAGGGAACUCCUCAAGUUUCUGAAUUGGAGCAAAGCUAGGGGCAAAAAUGUCUGUGUGCAGCUAGAUGGGAAAAAAAAUCCAAGCAGAGAAGAAAAAAACAUGCCACCUGCAUGUGCGUUAUACAGCAGCACGUGCAGAGAGCGUGGACAGCAAGUGUACCUGUCUCGUUCACAUCACAUCCCUCUUUGGUUAACAGCAAAGAUUCUGGCCUUGACUAAAGGCUAACGGGGCUCUUCUGAGCUCUUUUCAACUAGGUCUCAACUUCUGGAGCUCCG